UCAGGUCCCUUGUUUGAUGAAUCUGAAGGUCCAGCUUCACUGCCAGGCGCAGGACCAGCACCUUCACCACCUGCGCCUGGUUGGUUGUAAAGGGACUGGCCAAGUUGCAUGACUUCUUGGUUAAGGGCAGCCAUGGCAUCUUUUAUCCCUUGUGUUGACCCAUCAGAUAUUGCAUCCUUGAGCUCCUUGAGUUUUGCCUCAACCUUUUCUUUCACAGGGGCUGGAACCUUGUCUCCUAGUUCCUUCAGCUGCUUCUCAGUCUGGUAGACAACGGAAUCUGCUUGGUUCUUUGUGUCGAUGGCAUCUCUCUUCUCCUUGUCCUCCUUUGCAAAUUUCUCAGCUUCCUUAACCAUCUUCUCAACCUGCAUAUAUUAAUUCAUGUAUCCUUAAAACAUUGUUCAAAUAUAAGCAUGUUCGACAUGACAAGCAGAGCAUUGGCACAACAACCAAAGCAAGUUAAUUGGUUACUUGGUAAUAUACAGUGUUUUCCUAAGCUUUCAAAGUUCAAGAGCACCAAUGCAUUUACACCACAUAUACAAGUGGAUUUCAGACAAGAAUCACAGAUGCAAUUCUUUUUAAAGCCUAAUCAUUAUGCAUCUUGAGUACUGAUAAAUACCACAAGAAUUCAGUUCACAUCAUGCUCAGUGAAAUGCAUACCUCAUCACUGGGUAAGGUGCUAGCACCAGUAAUUGUGAUGUCUUGCUUCUUCCCUGUACCUUU
rnacentral:lncRNA from 1 species